GUGCUUGCUUUGGCAGAACAUAUACUAAAAUUGGAAUGAUACAGAGAAGAUUAACAUGGCCCCUGUGCAAAGAUGACAUAAAAUUUGUGAAGUGGUCCACGGUAAA
rnacentral:snRNA from 1 species